rnacentral:rRNA from 1 species
UACGUAGGGUGCAAGCGUUAAUCGGAAUUACUGGGCGUAAAGCGUGCGCAGGCGGUUUUGUAAGUCAGAUGUGAAAUCCCCGGGCUUAACCUGGGAACUGCGUUUGAAACUACAAGGCUAGAGUGUGGCAGAGGGGGGGUGGAAUUCCACGUGUAGCAGUGAAAUGCGUAGAGAUGUGGAGGAACACCGAUGGCGAAGGCGCCUUGCUGGCCAAUUUCUGACGCUGAGGCGCGAAAGCGUGGGGAGCAAACAGG